rnacentral:rRNA from 1 species
UACGUAGGGGGCAAGCGUUGUCCGGAUUUAUUGGGCGUAAAGAGCGUGUAGGCGGUCAGGUAGGUCGGUUGUGAAAACUGGAGGCUCAACCUUCAGAGGUCGACCGAAACCCCCUGGCUAGAGUCCGGGAGAGGAGAGUGGAAUUCCUGGUGCAGCGGUGAAAUGCGCAGAUAUCAGGAAGAACACCCGUGGCGAAAGCGGCUCUCUGGAACGGUACUGACGCUGAGACGCGAAAGCGUGGGGAGCGAACAGG